AGACGGAGUUUCACCGUGUUAGCCAGGAUGGUCUCCAUCUCCUGACCUCGUGAUCUGCCCGCCUCAGCCUCCCAACGUGCUGGGAUUACAGGCGUGAGUCACCGUGCCCGGCCUUCUCGCUUUUUUAUGUGGCAAUCUAGCAAAGGGUCUUGCUCUGACCCCCAGGCUGGAGUGCAGUGGUACAAUCUCGGCUUACCGCAGCCUCUACCUCUGGGACUCAAGCGGUCCUUCCACCUCAGCCCCCCAGAGUAGCUGGAACUAUAGGCACAUGCCACUGUGCCCGGUUAAUUUUUUGUAAGUUUUGUAGGGGUGGGGUCUUGCCAUGUUGCCCAGGCUUGUCCCUUUUUUUUUUUUUUUCCUGAAUAGUAUUCUGGAUGUACUAUAGUUUGUUUAACGAUUCACCUAUUGGAGGACCUCUGGGUUGUUUCCAUUUAUUGCCUGUUACAAUAAAGCUGCGGUAUUCAGCUUAAUUAAGCAAGAUUAAAUACAUGUAUAAAAAAGUAAAGCUGCUAUAAAUAUUCAUAUACAGGUCUUUGAACUUAAAUUUUCAGUUCUCCUGAAUAAAUGUCAAGCAGUACAAUUCCUGGGUUGUGUGGUAGUUUUAGCAUUUAUUUGUUUAUUCCUGGUAACUCACAGAAAAGGUAGUUUUAGUUUUUAAACAUGUUUAGUUUUUAAAGAAACUGCCAAACUGUUUUCCAGAGUGGCUGUACUUUUUAACAUUCCCACCAGCCAUCACUACCUUUUAUUUUGGCCACUCUGAUAGGUGUGCAGGUGUGCAGUGAUAUCUCAUUGUGGUUUUAACUUGCAUCUCUGUAAUGGCUAUGAUAUUGAAUGUCUUUUCAUGGGCUUAUUUGCCAUCUGUAUAUCCUUUUUGAUGAAAUGACUGUUCAUGUCCUUUCCUCAUUUUGUAAUUGGAUUAUUUACUUUUUUACUGUUGAGUUUUGAGAUCCUAAUUCUUUGUCAAAUAUGUGGUUUGCAAAUAUUUCCUUCCAGUCUGUAGACUGACUUUUUAUUCUCUAAACAGGUUCUAUUACAGCAAAAUUUUACAUUUCAAUGAAGUUCAACUUACCCACUUUUCCUUGUAUGAUACUAUGGGUGUUAAAUUUAAGAACACUUAGCCUGGCUCUAGAUCCUGAAGAUUUUCUAGUUUUCUUUUCCCUGAAGUUUUAUAGUUUUAUGUUUUACAUUUAAGACCAUGACCCAUUUUGAGUUAGUUUUUGUAUAAGGUGUGCAGUUAGGUGGAGUCUCAUUUUUGCCUAUGAAUGUAUAAUUUCUGUAGCACCAGUUAUUGAAAAGGGUUUUUGUUAAAAAUCAGUUGAGUAUAUUCAUGUGGGCCUGUUUCUGGGUUCUCUAAUCUGUUCCAUUGAUCUGUGUCUGUCCCUUUGCCAGUAUCACACAAUCUGGAUUACUGUAUAAUAAAGCAUGAAAUCAGGUUGA